rnacentral:rRNA from 1 species
AGACGUCUACAUUAGAUACCCGGGUAGUCCCAGCCGUAAACUAUGCGCGUUAGGUGUAUCGGUGACCACGAGUUACCGAGGUGCCGAAGGGAAACCGUGAAACGUGCCGCCUGGGAAGUACGGUCGCAAGGCUGAAACUUAAAGGAAUUGGCGGGGAGCACCACAACGGGUGGAGCCUGCGGUUUAAUCGGACUCAACGCCGGGAAGCUCACCGGAUAAGACAGCGGAAUGAUUGCCGGGCUGAAGACUCUGCAUGACUAGCUG